rnacentral:misc_RNA from 1 species
AGUCCACAAAGCUUAGCAGCACAAAUCUCCAAAAUCUACGAUUAGCAUCAACAUUUCAGCUUCAGGGUUGAGGAUUGUAGCGAAGAUGCUGCUCAUAGUAGCCAAUCAACAGAAGGGGGUUAUUGGCCUUCAGAUGUUUAUCAUCAACCAGGACUUCUUGACCAUCAGACCUGAUAGCUUUGAAGGUAAUCGCCACCUGCUGUUG